ACUUUCGGGGAUGGAGGGGAAGCCCAGGUACUCUCUGUGCUUCCUAACUGGCCGUGGAAGGGGAGGUGGAGACGGGAAGCGGCAGUCGGUUUCACUGCAGCGUCUGGGAUUCCUGCCCCGAGUUCUUCCUCAGAAACCGGCGGCGGCUGCGGACAGGGGCGGCUGGGCUGAGGGGCGGGAAGCCGCUGGCCAGCUUCACCCUCUCUCUGGGGCUCCUGCAGGGCAAGGGGAGCGGAUGUGAAGUUGUCCCUGUAGAUAUAAUUAACAGCAUUGUGGACAAGACCACAAGUUCAGAAGGAGCUUACAAAGGAGAAAUUCAUGCUGCAAAUGGUGACACUUAAGCCAAAAGCAAUAAAAUGCAUUCAUCUGGGACACUGUCGCCCUGGGGUUUAUGGCUUCCACAGGACAAUCCAAGUCUGGGCUUCAGACCUCGUCAUUCUGCCACACUGUGACCCCGAGGCAGGGCGCGCCAUAAACAGACCGGGAGGCUGCUCUGUGUGCCCUCGCUGCGGGCUGGCUGCUCUGGGAAGAACACGCAGCCCUCAACAGGGAAAUGCGAUAACUAUUCUGCUUCUUGGAAUGAUUUGCAGAUUCAUGCAUUCAAACAUUCUUCAGAUGCUGACUGGUGGUAUAUGUCACCACGUUCCCGGUGGGAUGCGACCUGGUGGUGGAAAACAGACAGCUCACUUAAACGCCAGUUCGGCCACUUACUAACCGUGUGACCUUGGGAAACUUACUUAACUUCUCUGAGCCGAAGUUUACUCACAGAAGCUGGACCCUUUGUCACGGAGCUGAACACACACACCUGGCCCAGGAGCUGGUGUCGCUGAAGGAGGAUCCAGGAGAAGGUGGGACAGCUGCAGGCCUGGCCCCGGCCCCAAGCCAACAAGAACGCGAGAGCCAGACUGUUAUACAGGGGAGGGAAAUGACACCGCCAAGAAGAAGGAGCGCUUCCUAAAUCCUACAUCCACCCUAAGGAAUAAACCUAAAGACUGUGCUUGCAUCAACGUGGC
rnacentral:lncRNA from 1 species